rnacentral:rRNA from 1 species
GCUGGCGGUCCGCCUCACCGCGUGCACUCGUCCGGCCGGGCCUUCCUUCUGAAGAACCUCAUGCCCUUCACUGGGCGUGCUGGGGAAUCAGGACUUUUACUUUGAAAAAAUUAGAGUGUUCAAAGCAGGCCUUUGCUCGAAUACGUUAGCAUGGAAUAAUAAAAUAGGGCGUGCGUUUCUAUUUUGUUGGUUUCUAGAGACGCCGCAAUGAUUAACAGGAACAGUCGGGGGCAUCAGUAUUCAGUUGUCAGAGGUGAAAUUCUUGGAUUUACUGAAGACUAACUACUGCGAAAGCAUUUGCCAAGGAUGUUUUCAUUAAUCAGUGAACGAAAGUUAGGGGAUCGAAGACGAUCAGAUACCGUCGUAGUCUUAACCGUAAACUAUGCCGACUAGGGAUCGGGCGAUGUUCUUUUUCUGACUCGCUCGGCACCUUACGAGAAAUCAAAGUUUUUGGGUUCUGGGGGGAUUAUGGUCGCAAGGCUGAAACUUAAAGAAAUUGACGGAAGGGCACCAA